rnacentral:rRNA from 1 species
UACGUAGGUGGCAAGCGUUGUCCGGAUUUACUGGGCGUAAAGGGCGUGCAGGCGGUUUGUUAAGUGCAGCGUGAAAGCUCCUGGCUAAACUGGGAGAGGUUGACCAAGACUGCGCGACUUGAGUGGAGAAGAGGUAAACGGAAUUCCGCGUGUAGUGGUGAAAUGCGUAGAGAUGCGGAAGAACACCAGUGGCGAAGGCGGUUUACUGGUCUCCAACUGACACUGAACCGCGAAAGCAUGGGUAGCGAACGGG